rnacentral:rRNA from 1 species
GACGAAGGGGGCUAGCGUUGUCCGGAAUUACUGGGCGUAAAGAGCUCGUAGGUGGUUUGUCGCGUUGUCCGUGAAAACUCACAGCUCAACUGUGGGCGUGCGGGCGAUACGGGCAGACUGGAGUACUGCAGGGGAGACUGGAAUUCCUGGUGUAGCGGUGGAAUGCGCAGAUAUCAGGAGGAACACCGGUGGCGAAGGCGGGUCUCUGGGCAGUAACUGACGCUGAGGAGCGAAAGCGUGGGGAGCGAACAGG